rnacentral:rRNA from 1 species
UACGGAGGGGGCUAGCGUUGUUCGGAAUUAUUGGGCGUAAAGCGUACGUAGGCGGCUUGGCAAGUUAGAGGUGAAAGCCCGGAGCUCAACUCCGGAAUAGCCUUUGAGACUGCCUCGCUUGAACGUCGGAGAGGUGAGUGGAAUUCCGAGUGUAGAGGUGAAAUUCGUAGAUAUUCGGAAGAACACCAGUGGCGAAGGCGGCUCACUGGACGACUGUUGACGCUGAGGUACGAAAGCGUGGGGAGCAAACAGG